rnacentral:rRNA from 1 species
AAGCAUAUCAAUAAGCGGAGGAAAAGAAACCAACAGGGAUUGCCCUAGUAACGGCGAGUGAAGCGGCAACAGCUCAAAUUUGAAAUCUGGCUCUUUCAGAGUCCGAGUUGUAAUUUGCAGAGGGCGCUUUGGCUUUGGCAGCGGUCCAAGUUCCUUGGAACAGGACGUCACAGAGGGUGAGAAUCCCGUACGUGGUCGCUAGCUAUUGCCGUGUAAAGCCCCUUCGACGAGUCGAGUUGUUUGGGAAUGCAGCUCUAAAUGGGAGGUAAAUUUCUUCUAAAGCUAAAUAUUGGCCAGAGACCGAUAGCGCACAAGUAGAGUGAUCGAAAGAUGAAAAGCACUUUGGAAAGAGAGUCAAACAGCACGUGAAAUUGUUGAAAGGGAAGCGCUUGCAGCCAGACUUGCUUGCAGUUGCUCAUCCGGGCUUUUGCCCGGUGCACUCUUCUGUAGGCAGGCCAGCAUCAGUUUGGGCGGUGGGAUAAAGGUCUCUGUCACGUUCCUUCCUUCGGGUUGGCCAUAUAGGGGAGACGUCAUACCACCAGCCUGGACUGAGGUCCGCGCAUCUGCUAGGAUGCUGGCGUAAUGGCUGUAAGCGGCCCGUCUUGAAACACGGACCAAGGAGUCUAACAUCUAUGCGAGUGUUUGGGUGUCAAGCCCGAGCGCGUAAUGAAAGUGAACGGAGGUGGGAACCCGCAAGGGCGCACCAUCGACCGAUCCUGAAGUUUACGGAAGGAUUUGAGUAAGAGCAUGGCUGUUGGGACCCGAAAGAUGGUGAACUAUGCUUGAAUAGGGUGAAGCCAGAGGAAACUCUGGUGGAGGCUCGCAGCGGUUCUGACGUGCAAAUCGAUCGUCAAAUUUGGGCAUAGGGGCGAAAGACUAAUCGAACUAUCUAGUAGCUGGUUUCCUGCCGAAG